rnacentral:lncRNA from 1 species
GUUUGAGGUAUGGUAAGUUAUGUUUAUUUUUUUUAUGAAAUUUUUAUUUUUCACAGUGCAUGCAUUCCUCCAACUGCAUGGAUGCACAUUUUGAUAUAUUGACUGUUGGUGCAAAAAUCCGCUUGCGCCGGAGAAGCUGGAGUCGGGGAAGUCGCGGUCGCCGCCGGGACCUGCAAAGGAAGUCUAAAUCGGAGGUGGGGUUGCUCCGGCAAGACCCUCCGACGCUCAAGUCAGUUCUCUGCCUCAACAAGAAUGGAGUGCUCGAACGGAGAAUU